rnacentral:rRNA from 1 species
GGACAAACGCUGGCGGCGUGCCUAACACAUGCAAGUCGAGCGAGGUAUAUAUACCUAGCGGCGGACGGGUGAGUAACACGUGGGUAACCUGCCUCAUAGAGGGGAAUAGCCUUCCGAAAGGGAGAUUAAUACCGCAUAACAUACGUAAUUAGCAUUAGAAACGUAUCAAAGGAGAAAUCCGCUAUGAGAUGGGCCCGCGGCGCAUUAGCUAGUUGGAGGGGUAACGGCCUACCAAGGCAAUGACGGGUAGGGGACCUGAGAGGGUGGCCCCCCACAAUGGAACUGAAACACGGUCCAUACACCUACGGGUGGCAGCAGUAGGGAAUAUUAGAAAUGGGCGGAAGCCUGAUCUAGCAACACCGCGUGUGCGAUGAAGGCCUUCGGGUCGUAAAGCACUUUUUGGAGGGAAUAGGAAGGAAGGUACCUCCAGAAUAAGUCUCGGCUAACUACGUGCCAGCAGCCGCGGUAACACGUAGGAGGCAAACGUUAUCCGGAUUCACUGGGCGUAAGGCGCGUGCAGGUGGUUUCGUAAGUAGGGCGUGAAAGCUCCCGGCUCAACUGGGAGAGGCCGUACUAAACUGCGGAGCUAGAGGAUGGUAGAGGGAGGUGGAAUUCCAGGUGUAGUGGUGAAAUGCGCAGAUAUCUGGAGGAACACCAGUGGCGAAGGCGGCCUCCUGGACCAUACCUGACACUCAGACGCGAAAGCUAGGGUAGCAAACGGAAUUAGAGACUCCGGUAGUCCUAGCCCUAAACGAUGCAGACUAGGCGUCGGCGGUUUAAUCACCGUCGGUGUCCAAGCUAACGCGAUAAGUCUGCCGCCUGAGGACUACGGCCGCAAGGCUAAAACUCAAAGGAAUUGACGGGUCCCCGCACAAGCAGCGGAGCGUGUGGUUUAAUUCGAUGCUCCGCGAAGAACCUUACCUGGGUUUGACAUAACAGUGGUAGAGAAACGAAAGUGGACCGACCCUUCGGGGAGCUGUUACAGGUGUUGCAUGGCUGUCGUCAGCUCGUGUCGUGAGAUGUUCGGUUAAGUCCGCUAACGAGCGCAACCCGCGCUGUGUGUUACAAGUGUCACACAGUACCGCCGGUAUUAAGUCGGAGGAAGGUGCGGAUGACGUCAAGUCAGCAUGACCUUUAUAUCCAGGGCUACACACACGCUACAAUGGUCAGCACAAUAGGUUGCCAAGCCGCAAGGCGGAGCCAAUCCUCCAAAGCUGGCCUCAGUUCAGAUUGCAGGCUGCAACUCGCCUGCAUGAAGUCGGAGUUGCUAGUAACCGCAGGUCAGCAUACUGCGGUGAAUACGUUCCCGGGGAU